UUUGUAGACAAAUAUGUUGAUAUAUUUUAAUGUGAGAGCAAACAAAGGGAUGUACUUUUCCCGCUGAAGGAAGUGUUAUGGAUUAUGGACUGAUAUCUUGACAAUAGUUGAUGGUAUAACCCCACUAAAUGAUGUAUUUGUUUCUUAUAGCCUUGCAGUUUUUUUACACUUUACAAGAUGUUAAUUGUUGUUAAAAGUCAAGUGGAUUACUUGUGUAUUGCUGUGAUGUUUUUAACAGAUGUUUGAAAACUCAUUCUGACGGCACCCGUUCACUGCAGAGGAUCAAUUGGUGAGCAAGUGAUGUAAUGUUGCAUUUCUCCAAAUCUGUUCAAAGAAGAAACAAACUCAUCUACAUCUCGGUUGGCCUGUGGUCCCAGCUCUCAUCACCAUGGGUGACUAUGGAAGUGCAAGGAAAAAGAGGAAGAUUUUGGACAACAUCACAGGGAGCAUGUCUCUGCACUGGCAGGCCGUGGGGAAUUCUCAAAGCAGAGGGCUGUGGAAAUGGGUCCGUCGACGAGACUCCUGUUCCUGUCCUACUGUACACCAUUUUCUCUUGAUCUAACUUGCACACUUCAAUCAGGCUAAACGGGGUCAUGAAAUUUCACACUUAAAGUAGUGACAGCAGAAUAUGCAGAAACUAUUUUGGUAUCUCAAAUCAGCUCUAGGCUUGUAUGCCAAAUGAUUCAGUUGAUACCUUAUUACAGUUCAUUAUCAAGAAAAAAAUGCCAUAUUAGUCACAGUUAAUUCCCAUUUAUUCAUAAAAGACUAAUGAUAAUGGCC